AUUGAACGCUGGCGGCAGGCCUAACACAUGCAAGUCGAGCGGAUGAGAGGAGCUUGCUCCUCGAUUCAGCGGCGGACGGGUGAGUAAUGCCUGGGAAUCUGCCCAGUAGUGGGGGACAACGUUUCGAAAGGAACGCUAAUACCGCAUACGUCCUACGGGAGAAAGUGGGGGAUCUUCGGACCUCACGCUAUUGGAUGAGCCUAGGUCGGGUUAGCUAGUUGGUAGGGUAAAGGCCUACCAAGGCGACGAUCCGUAACUGGUCUGAGAGGAUGAUCAGUCACACUGGAACUGAGACACGGUCCAGACUCCUACGGGAGGCAGCAGUGGGGAAUAUUGGACAAGGGGCGCAAGCCUGAUCCAGCCAUGCCGCGUGUGUGAAGAAGGCCCUCGGGUCGUAAAGCACUUUAAGUUGGGAGGAAGGGCUUACAGCGAAUACCUGUGAGUUUUGACGUUACCGACAGAAUAAGCACCGGCUAACUUCGUGCCAGCCGCCGCCGUAA
rnacentral:rRNA from 1 species